AAUCGAUUUGUCUCAUAACACAUCGCUCUUCUAAAUAAAUUAAGUAAAUGACGAGCGUUGAAGCUAAUACGCCGGGAUAGUAUACGUACGUAGACUAAAUAAAAUAACAAAAAAAUAAAAUAAUUAAAUUGGGGGACUACAACAGUCAUA